rnacentral:rRNA from 1 species
AGCGUACACGGUGGAUGCCCUGGCAGUCAGAGGCGAUGAAGGACGUGCUAAUCUGCGAUAAGCGUCGGUGAGGUGAUAUGAACCGUUAUAACCGGCGAUUUCCGAAUGGGGAAACCCAGUGUGAUUCGUCACACUAUCAUUAACUGAAUCCAUAGGUUAAUGAGGCGAACCGGGGGAACUGAAACAUCUAAGUACCCCGAGGAAAAGAAAUCAACCGAGAUUCCCCCAGUAGCGGCGAGCGAACGGGGAGGAGCCCAGAGCCUGAAUCAGUGUGUGUGUUAGUGGAAGCGUCUGGAAAGGCGCGCGAUACAGGGUGACAGCCCCGUACACAAAAAUGCACAUACUGUGAGCUCGAUGAGUAGGGCGGGACACGUGGUAUCCUGUCUGAAUAUGGGGGGACCAUCCUCCAAGGCUAAAUACUCCUGACUGACCGAUAGUGAACCAGUACCGUGAGGGAAAGGCGAAAAGAACCCCGGCGAGGGGAGUGAAAAAGAACCUGAAACCGUGUACGUACAAGCAGUGGGAGCCUCUUUUAUGGGGUGACUGCGUACCUUUUGUAUAAUGGGUCAGCGACUUAUAUUCUGUAGCAAGGUUAACCGAAUAGGGGAGCCGAAGGGAAACCGAGUCUUAACUGGGCGUUAAGUUGCAGGGUAUAGACCCGAAACCCGGUGAUCUAGCCAUGGGCAGGUUGAAGGUUGGGUAACACUAACUGGAGGACCGAACCGACUAAUGUUGAAAAAUUAGCGGAUGACUUGUGGCUGGGGGUGAAAGGCCAAUCAAACCGGGAGAUAGCUGGUUCUCCCCGAAAGCUAUUUAGGUAGCGCCUCGUGAAUUCAUCUCCGGGGGUAGAGCACUGUUUCGGCAAGGGGGUCAUCCCGACUUACCAACCCGAUGCAAACUGCGAAUACCGGAGAAUGUUAUCACGGGAGACACACGGCGGGUGCUAACGUCCGUCGUGAAGAGGGAAACAACCCAGACCGCCAGCUAAGGUCCCAAAGUCAUGGUUAAGUGGGAAACGAUGUGGGAAGGCCCAGACAGCCAGGAUGUUGGCUUAGAAGCAGCCAUCAUUUAAAGAAAGCGUAAUAGCUCACUGGUCGAGUCGGCCUGCGCGGAAGAUGUAACGGGGCUAAACCAUGCACCGAAGCUGCGGCAGCGACGCUUAUGCGUUGUUGGGUAGGGGAGCGUUCUGUAAGCCUGUGAAGGUGGCCUGUGAGGGUUGCUGGAGGUAUCAGAAGUGCGAAUGCUGACAUAAGUAACGAUAAAGCGGGUGAAAAGCCCGCUCGCCGGAAGACCAAGGGUUCCUGUCCAACGUUAAUCGGGGCAGGGUGAGUCGACCCCUAAGGCGAGGCCGAAAGGCGUAGUCGAUGGGAAACAGGUUAAUAUUCCUGUACUUGGUGUUACUGCGAAGGGGGGACGGAGAAGGCUAUGUUGGCCGGGCGACGGUUGUCCCGGUUUAAGCGUGUAGGCUGGUUUUCCAGGCAAAUCCGGAAAAUCAAGGCUGAGGCGUGAUGACGAGGCACUACGGUGCUGAAGCGACAAAUGCCCUGCUUCCAGGAAAAGCCUCUAAGCAUCAGGUAACAUCAAAUCGUACCCCAAACCGACACAGGUGGUCAGGUAGAGAAUACCAAGGCGCUUGAGAGAACUCGGGUGAAGGAACUAGGCAAAAUGGUGCCGUAACUUCGGGAGAAGGCACGCUGAUAUGUAGGUGAAGCGACUUGCUCGUGGAGCUGAAAUCAGUCGAAGAUACCAGCUGGCUGCAACUGUUUAUUAAAAACACAGCACUGUGCAAACACGAAAGUGGACGUAUACGGUGUGACGCCUGCCCGGUGCCGGAAGGUUAAUUGAUGGGGUUAGCGGCAACGCGAAGCUCUUGAUCGAAGCCCCGGUAAACGGCGGCCGUAACUAUAACGGUCCUAAGGUAGCGAAAUUCCUUGUCGGGUAAGUUCCGACCUGCACGAAUGGCGUAAUGAUGGCCAGGCUGUCUCCACCCGAGACUCAGUGAAAUUGAACUCGCUGUGAAGAUGCAGUGUACCCGCGGCAAGACGGAAAGACCCCGUGAACCUUUACUAUAGCUUGACACUGAACAUUGAGCCUUGAUGUGUAGGAUAGGUGGGAGGCUUUGAAGUGUGGACGCCAGUCUGCAUGGAGCCGACCUUGAAAUACCACCCUUUAAUGUUUGAUGUUCUAACGUGGGCCCCUUACCGGGGUUGCGGACAGUGUCUGGUGGGUAGUUUGACUGGGGCGGUCUCCUCCUAAAGAGUAACGGAGGAGCACGAAGGUUGGCUAAUCCUGGUCGGACAUCAGGAGGUUAGUGCAAUGGCAUAAGCCAGCUUGACUGCGAGCGUGACGGCGCGAGCAGGUGCGAAAGCAGGUCAUAGUGAUCCGGUGGUUCUGAAUGGAAGGGCCAUCGCUCAACGGAUAAAAGGUACUCCGGGGAUAACAGGCUGAUACCGCCCAAGAGUUCAUAUCGACGGCGGUGUUUGGCACCUCGAUGUCGGCUCAUCACAUCCUGGGGCUGAAGUAGGUCCCAAGGGUAUGGCUGUUCGCCAUUUAAAGUGGUACGCGAGCUGGGUUUAGAACGUCGUGAGACAGUUCGGUCCCUAUCUGCCGUGGGCGCUGGAGAACUGAGGGGGGCUGCUCCUAGUACGAGAGGACCGGAGUGGACGCAUCACUGGUGUUCGGGUUGUCAUGCCAAUGGCACUGCCCGGUAGCUAAAUGCGGAAGAGAUAAGUGCUGAAAGCAUCUAAGCACGAAACUUGCCCCGAGAUGAGUUCU